GACGAACCACACGAACGUUAUUCGGCAUUACUGGGCUUAAAGGGUGCGUAGGCGGCGUAGCAAGUUGGGUGUGAAAUCCCUCGGCUCAACCGAGGAACUGCGCCCAAAACUGCUAUGCUUGAGGAAGAUAGAGGUAAGCGGAACUUACGGUGGAGCGGUGAAAUGCGUUGAUAUCGUAAGGAACACCUGUGGCGAAAGCGGCUUACUGGGUCGUUUCUGACGCUGAUGCACGAAGGCGAGGGGAGCAAACGGG
rnacentral:rRNA from 1 species